AAGAUGCAAUUGCAUCACUCAAAGAUGAUCCCGCGUUGUAUUAGCUAGUAGGUGAGGUAAUGGCUCACCUAGGCGACGAUACAUAGCCGACCUGAGAGGGUGAUCGGCCACACUGGGACUGAGACACGGCCCAGACUCCUACGGGAGGCAGCAGUAGGGAAUCUUCGGCAAUGGGGGCAACCCUGACCGAGCAACGCCGCGUGAGUGAAGAAGGUUUUCGGAUCGUAAAGCUCUGUUGUAAGUCAAGAACGGGUGUGAGAGUGGAAAGUUCACACUGUGACGGUAGCUUACCAGAAAGGGACGGCUAACUACGUGCCAGCAGCCGCGGUAAUACGUAGGUCCCGAGCGUUGUCCGGAUUUAUUGGGCGUAAAGCGAGCGCAGGCGGUUUGAUAAGUCUGAAGUUAAAGGCUGUGGCUCAACCAUAGUUCGCUUUGGAAACUGUCAAACUUGAAUGCAGAAGGGGAGAGUGGAAUUCCAUGUGUAGCGGUGAAAUGCGUAGAUAUAUGGAGGAACACCGGUGGCGAAAGCGGCUCUCUGGUCUGUAACUGACGCUGAGGCUCGAAAGCGUGGGGAGCGAACAGGAUUAGAUACCCUGGUAGUCCACGCCGUAAACGAUGAGUGCUAGGUGUUGGAUCCUUUCCGGGAUUCAGUGCCGAAGCUAACGCAUUAAGCACUCCGCCUGGGGAGUACGACCGCAAGGUU
rnacentral:rRNA from 1 species